AACGACGCACCUGCAACAACUGUUGAAAAGAGGAACGGUAUAUAAGUGCCGACAGUCUUCCACUGCUUCAUACGUAUUCUUACAGCAAGAUGAUGACCACGUUGGUUGUAUUAUCUCUACUUGUUGCCACUGCGCUAGUGGCCGUCUCGGCUGCGCCCGUGCAGCGCGGUCUUACUACAUGCGCGAGUUUGCUGUCUGCGUCAUCCCCAUUCACUGAGGACUAUAUUUGCAAUGCCUUCUGCGAAGAUGAUCACAAAGACGCAGGAAAGUGCAUUAACGGAUAUUGCUACUGCAGGACCGGUGGCACGUAUACUGGUUACGUUGUUGGCUAAUAAGCCAGGAAAGAGACUAAGCCAAAGUGAUGUCAGUGAUAUGUAAUUAUCAAAUAAAAUUAUUAAAAUUCUAAUUUUCA